AAUGGGUUAGCCUUCACUAAAGGGAAGAGAAAUAGUUUCUCUUCGGAUAGCCCAAGUUGCAUCUAAAAAUUUUUUAUUAAUCUACAUGAAUAAGGAUCAAAUCCUUAUUUGAUUAGCAACAAAAUCAGAGAUCAAAUCUCUAAAAAUCUAAAACAAUCCUUUGUAGAGGUUUGGAUAUGCAGAUCCUCUACCUCGCAUACACGCC
rnacentral:lncRNA from 1 species